rnacentral:rRNA from 1 species
GACGAACGCUGGCGGCAUGCCUAAUACAUGCAAGUCGAGCGAACAGAUGAAGUGCUUGCACUUCUGACGUUAGCGGCGAACGGGUGAGUAACACGUAAGGAAUCUACCUAUAAGCGGGGGAUAACAUUCGGAAACGGGUGCUAAUACCGCAUAAUAUCUUCUUCCGCAUGGAAGAAGAUUGAAAGACGGCUCUGCUGUCACUUAUAGAUGACCUUGCGGUGCAUUAGUUAGUUGGUGGGGUAAUGGCCUACCAAGACGAUGAUGCAUAGCCGACCUGAGAGGGUGAUGGGCCACAGUGGGACGGAGACACGGCACAAACUCCUACGGGAGGCAGCAGUAGGGAAUCUUCCGCAAUGGGCGAAAGCCUGACGGAGCAAUGCCGCGUGAGUGAAGAAGGCCUUCGGGUCGUAAAACUCUGUUAUAAGAGAAGAACAAAUUGUAGAGUAACUGCUACAGUCUUGACGGUAUCUUAUCAGAAAGCCACGGCUAACUACGUGCCAGCCGCCGCCGUAA